AUGGCAGAAUUAUGUCAGAAGUUAUUGGGAAAGACGACAUCAAAAAAACCUUCUCUUUGUCUACUACGAAGAUCUGAAAGAAAAUUUUCGACAAACCGUCACUUCCAUAGCUAACUUCUUGGAAAUCCCAUUGUCCGCGGACCAACUCGACAUGAUUCAAGAGCGAUCGUCCUUGGAGGUCAUGAGAGCCAUGGAGGCAGAGGCGCAACCAAACAAGGGCACUGGUGUGGGAACUCUCAUUAACAAAGGUUUGAGCAACGAAGCAAUAAAGGAGUAUUCUGAGGAGGACAUUGCUCUGGUCAAGUCAAAGAUGAGGGAGAAACUGGCUGACACUGAUAUCAGAUAUGUGAAGGAAAUCCUGUAAAACAAUCCAUGAACAAUUCAUAAUUAUAGACACUGCUUCCACGAGUGUUCACAUCCGUCAAUCUACAGGUUAAAGAGUGCUUAAACGAAAGUUUAAUUUCGUCAAAAUAAUGGUUACUCGCCCUAAAUAUUGAUUCCAAUCUCGA